AGUGAACGCUGGCGGUAGGCCUAACACAUGCAAGUCGAACGGCAGCACAGUAAGAGCUUGCUCUUACGGGUGGCGAGUGGCGGACGGGUGAGGAAUACAUCGGAAUCUACUUUUUCGUGGGGGAUAACGUAGGGAAACUUACGCUAAUACCGCAUACGACCUACGGGUGAAAGCAGGGGAUCUUCGGACCUUGCGCGAUUGAAUGAGCCGAUGUCGGAUUAGCUAGUUGGCGGGGUAAAGGCCCACCAAGGCGACGAUCCGUAGCUGGUCUGAGAGGAUGAUCAGCCACACUGGAACUGAGACACGGUCCAGACUCCUACGGGAGGCAGCAGUGGGGAAUAUUGGACAAUGGGCGAAAGCCUGAUCCAGCCAUACCGCGUGGGUGAAGAAGGUCUUCGGGUUGUAAAGCACUUUUGUUGGGGAAGAAAAGCAGUAGGUUAAUACCCUGCUGUUUUGACGGUACCAAAAGAAUAAGCACCGGCUAACUUCGUG
rnacentral:rRNA from 1 species